GAUUGAACGCUGGCGGAAUGCUUUCCACCUGCAAGUCGAGCGGCAGCGCGGCCUUCGGGCUGGCGGCGAGCGGCGAACGGGUGAGUAAUGCAUCGGAACAUGCCCAGUCGUGGGGGAUAACACUUCGAAAGAAGUGCUAAUACCGCAUACGUCCUGAGGGGGAAAGCGGGGGAUCGCAAGACCUCGCGCGAUUGGAGUGGCCGAUGUCAGAUUAGCUAGUUGGUGGGGUAAAGGCCUACCAAGGCGACGAUCUGUAGCUGGUCUGAGAGGAUGAUCAGCCACACUGGGACUGAGACACGGCCCAGACUCCUACGGGAGGCAGCAGUGGGGAAUUUUGGACAAUGGGGGCAACCCUGAUCCAGCCAUUCCGCGUGAGUGAAGAAGGCCUUCGGGUUGUAAAGCUCUUUCGGCAGGAACGAAACGGUGGGCUCUAACAUAGUCCGCUAAUGACGGUACCUGAAGAAGAAGCACCGGCUAACUACGUG
rnacentral:rRNA from 1 species